rnacentral:rRNA from 1 species
GGGUUGUGAGGUUAAGCGACUAAGCGUACACGGUGGAUGCCCUGGCAGUCAGAGGCGAUGAAGGACGUGCUAAUCUGCGAUAAGCGUCGGUAAGGUGAUAUGAACCGUUAUAACCGGCGAUUUCCGAAUGGGGAAACCCAGUGUGAUUCGUCACACUAUCAUUAACUGAAUCCAUAGGUUAAUGAGGCGAACCGGGGGAACUGAAACAUCUAAGUACCCCGAGGAAAAGAAAUCAACCGAGAUUCCCCCAGUAGCGGCGAGCGAACGGGGAGCAGCCCAGAGCCUGAAUCAGUAUGUGUGUUAGUGGAAGCGUCUGGAAAGGCGCGCGAUACAGGGUGACAGCCCCGUACACAAAAAUGCACAUGCUGUGAGCUCGAUGAGUAGGGCGGGACACGUGGUAUCCUGUCUGAAUAUGGGGGGACCAUCCUCCAAGGCUAAAUACUCCUGACUGACCGAUAGUGAACCAGUACCGUGAGGGAAAGGCGAAAAGAACCCCGGCGAGGGGAGUGAAAAAGAACCUGAAACCGUGUACGUACAAGCAGUGGGAGCACAGAGCAAUCUGUGUGACUGCGUACCUUUUGUAUAAUGGGUCAGCGACUUAUAUUCUGUAGCAAGGUUAACCGAAUAGGGGAGCCGAAGGGAAACCGAGUCUUAACUGGGCGUUAAGUUGCAGGGUAUAGACCCGAAA